rnacentral:rRNA from 1 species
CGGGUUGUAAAGUACUUUCAGCAGUGAGGAAGGUGGGUAUGUUAAUAGCAUAUUCAUUUGACCGUUAGCUGCAGAAGAAGCACCGGCUAACUCCGUGCCAGCAGCCGCGGUAAUACGGAGGGUGCGAGCGUUAAUCGGAAUUACUGGGCGUAAAGCGCAUGCAGGUGGUUUGUUAAGUCAGAUGUGAAAGCCAGGGGCUCAACCUCGGAAUUGCAUUUGAAACUGGCAAACUAGAGUACUGUAGAGGGGGUAGAAUUUCAGGUGUAGCGGUGAAAUGCGUAGAGAUCUGAAGGAAUACCGGUGGCGAAGGCGGCCCCCUGGACAGAUACUGACACUCAGAUGCGAAAGCGUGGGGAGCAAACAGGAUUAGAUACCCUGGUAG